rnacentral:rRNA from 1 species
UACGGAAGGGGCAAGCGUUGUCCGGAUUUAUUGGGCGUAAAGAGCUCGUAGGCGGCUAGGUAAGUCGGAUGUGAAACCUCCAGGCUCAACCUGGAGACGCCAUCUGAUACUGCCGUGGCUUGAGUCCGGUAGAGGAGCAGGGAAUUCCUGGUGUAGCGGUGAAAUGCGCAGAUAUCAGGAGGAACACCAGCGGCGAAGGCGCUGCUCUGGGCCGGUACUGACGCUGAGGAGCGAAAGCGUGGGGAGCGAACAGG